rnacentral:rRNA from 1 species
UUUGAUCCUGGCUCAGGAUGAACGCUAGCGGCAGGCUUAAUACAUGCAAGUCGAGGGGCAGCGCGGGUAGCAAUACCUGGCGGCGACCGGCAAACGGGUGCGGAACACGUACGCAACCUUCCCAAAACUGGGGAAUAGCCCUCCGAAAGGAGGAUUAAUACCCCGUAACACAAUUAAGAGGCAUCUCUUGAUUGUUAUAGCUCAGGCGGUUUUGGAUGGGCGUGCGGCUGAUUAGGUAGUUGGCGGGGUAACGGCCCACCAAGCCAUCGAUCAGUAACUGGUGUGAGAGCACGACCAGUCACACGGGCACUGAGACACGGGCCCGACUCCUACGGGAGGCAGCAGUAAGGAAUAUUGGUCAAUGGACGCAAGUCUGAACCAGCCAUGCCGCGUGAAGGAUGAAGGCCCUCUGGGUUGUAAACUUCUUUUAUCUGGGACGAAAAAAGGGGAUUCUUCCUCACUUGACGGUACCAGAGGAAUAAGCACCGGCUAACUCCGUGCCAGCAGCCGCGGUAAUACGGAGGGUGCAAGCGUUAUCCGGAUUCACUGGGUUUAAAGGGUGCGUAGGUGGGCAGGUAAGUCAGUGGUGAAAUCUUCGAGCUUAACUCGGAAACUGCCAUUGAUACUAUCUGUCUUGAAUAUCCUGGAGGUGAGCGGAAUAUGUCAUGUAGCGGUGAAAUGCUUAGAUAUGACAUAGAACACCAAUUGCGAAAGGCAGCUCACUACGGGAUGAUUGACGCUGAGGCACGAAAGCGUGGGGAUCAAACAGGAUUAGAUACCCUGGUAGUCCACGCCCUAAACGAUGGAUACUCGACAUAUGCGAUACACUGUAUGUGUCUGAGCGAAAGCAUUAAGUAUCCCACCUGGGAGUACGACCGCAAG